rnacentral:piRNA from 1 species
UGUGAGUGGCAACAGAAGAUUUAACAGCC